UACGUAGGUGGCAAGCGUUGUCCGGAUUUACUGGGCGUAAAGAGCGCGCAGGCGGUCGAGUAAGUCGAAUGUGAAAGCCCCCGGCUUAACUGGGGAGGGUCAUUCGAUACUGUUCGACUUGAAGGCAGGAGAGGGCAGCAGAAUUCCCGGUGUAGUGGUGAAAUGCUUAGAUAUCGUCAAGAACACCUAUAGCGAAGGCAGCUUACUAGGCUGUAACUGACGCUGAGGCACGAAAGUGUGGGGAUCAAACAGG
rnacentral:rRNA from 1 species